rnacentral:misc_RNA from 1 species
GAGGUAUGCUGGGCUCCUAUGUUGGCUGCCUUCAGUGUGCCUCUUGACCAAAGUGAUGAUGAAGUGGUGAUAGCUUUGUGUCUUGAAGGUUUCCGUUAUGCCAUCCAUGUUACUGCUGUAAUGUCCAUGAAGACUCAUAGAGACGCAUUUGUUACUUCAUUAGCAAAGUUUACUUCUCUCCACUCUCCUGCUGAUAUCAAGCAGAAAAAUGUUGAUGCUAUCAAGGCAAUAGUCACAAUUGCUGAUGAGGAUGGGAAUCAUUUGCAAGAAGCUUGGGAGCAUAUUUUAACAUG